AUAAAAAGCCAUAAAUGUGAGGCUAUCUUUAGCACCAACUGUAUGUUUCAGACUAUUAUUCGUGUUGUGCACUAAUCCUCUCAUUAAGGGUAUCUUUGCGAUAAAUGUCUUCUAUAUUCACUUUCGGCUUGCUUUCAAAUUUGACUAUUAUUUUGCUAAAUUUCAAAGAGCUUCGUAUAACGCGCAUAAUAUAUUCAUAAGGAAAUUUUAUGAUAUUAUGGUAGGAUAAAAUAAUGCAUAAUUUCUUGAUUGCGUACAUCUCGCAAUAAAACGUCAUUUUUUUUAUAAAAUAAAACUGGAUGGAUAAUCUGGCAGAUGUACGUGAAAUAUUUUCGCAGCUUGAUAAUUGUGAACUUUCUUUCGACUGUUACUACGAAAUGGAAAUUCUAGUAGACGAUCAUAGAAGCAGUCAGCGCGGGAAGAGUGAUGGAAAGGCAAGGAAGGUAAUAGAAUACGAGACGAAUAAUACUAAUGGAUAGCGUGAAAGGGGUAUGCAAAUUGUUCGAGGGACGAGUUAUCGUGUCUCGAUGUUUGGAAUCGAAAAUAGGAGAUUAAGGGAGGAUAAUAUGCAAUAUGUUCGUGUAGAGAUGUUAGAGAACGUGGCUCAUGAAAUUAAUAACUUCAACGUAAAUAAAAACUGUUUGAUUUUGUAAGAUUUUGGAUAAAAUAAAAAUGAAAGAUUUUUUUGGAACGUCCCUUCAACUUCUUAUAAUCCAUAUCUUUCUAUUUUUUAUUUAAGUUAUCGCAAGAGUUAAUUAAUUAAUUUGUUAUUAUUGUAUUUCUUUUUGUCGUUAUUUUCAUGUAAUUUAAUAUCUUCUAAAUCAUUGCUUUUCAAAAACGUAUAUAUU
rnacentral:misc_RNA from 1 species